rnacentral:lncRNA from 1 species
UUUGCAAAUUACAUAAAAAAACAUUAUGCACAUUUAACAUUGAAACAGUGAUGUCUUGAAACUGUUCCUGAAUCACUCAGCACACACCAUGAUUCAUAGAACCACACACAAUCAAAAUUAUUCACAGCAUCACCCCAUGGGCAUGGAAUAUGACUAAAAGGCAGACCCCAAAAAGAGUUUCUCCAUACUCUAAAUUCAAAUAAACAACAAAGGAUCGAUGGGAAAUGAAGAGGAAUGAUUAAUAUUUAAGGAUUGACACAAACACUACCCACCCUUCAUGUCAUUUGGUUGAAUGGUUCAGGCUGGGGUGGACGUCCAAACUAUGUCCUUGAGAGCCGGCCGGAGCUCCUUGUUGCAGAACUGGUCGUACUCCAGGCUAUCACCAUGGUGCUUCUUCACCUCCACCACCAGGAAAGACGGCGCCACUGCGAAUAUCUCCGCUCCUAUCGCUAAUUUCCCUUUUCUUCCUCUUUCCUGCCCCUGCAGCCUCACUAUCGUUUCGCUCUUCUUCACGCUGAAUUUCCCUGCCUUCGCUACCUCCUCCAGUUUCGAUAUCACGCUGCUCGCUGGCUGCGUCGUCGCGAACCUCAGUUCCUCCUUUUGCUCUCUCUUCUUCUCUUCGAACAAAGGUGACAGAUCGAACCCCUCCGAUAGGGAGAUGAUGUGGAACGCGUUCAGGGUCUCCGGCUGCUUUGCUUUUCCGCAAUUGAAUGACUCGAAUUCUUGUUCCUCUUUGGUUAGUAUCGUUUUGGGCACCGACUUUUUGAACCAGGAGGAUUCCACGAUCUUGGCUAUGGUGAUUCGAGUGUUGGGG